rnacentral:lncRNA from 1 species
UAUCAAUCAAUUUAUAAUAUGAGUCUUUUAAGUCAAUAUGUUUUCGUGAGCCAAAAUGGAGGGAAUAAUGUUAAUCCAUCAUCUGAGCCUCUAGAAGAAAUAGACGAUCAUGAAGAAUAUAUAAAAGUACAAAAAUAUUUCUAGGAGUACCUUGUCCUAGCACACUGGAGCAAGGUAUAAGAACUUGUGGCUUUAGAGAUGUACUUAUUAUCUUGGCCAUGCAACCCCAAGCGAAGACUUCAUUAAAUGAAAUUUGUCCAUUGCUGGCAACAGCAUUCUCUCUACCAAAAGUCUCAUGUCAUAUAGGUGUAGCUAUGAAGGAAGAGGCCAUGAUGAGUUGCACGUGGUAGCAUUCAUCUUUGAGGCUGCAAGCUGCAAAAGAGGUGGAAUGAAGAAUGGA